rnacentral:lncRNA from 1 species
UCUUAAGAGAAACUGAAUUUCUCAUAUUGUACCUUUCCUUUCAAACUUAAAUUGAAAUAAUAAACAAUUUCAAGGUAUGGUGACAGACUAUUUUUAUACCAAAGGAUUAAAACAACAACACACCAAUUCACUCUUUUUAUUCCAACAAAGAGAAGUAUUAUUUAUUUAUUUAUUAUUAUUAUUUUUUAGACGGAAUCUCGCUCUGUUGCCCAGGCUGGAGUGCAGUGGCGCGCUCUUGGCUCACUGCAACCUCCGCCUCCUGGGUUCAAGUGAUUCUCCUGCCACUCCAGCCCAGGCAACAGAGUGCGACUCUGUCUCAAAAAACAAAACAGAUAAAAAACUUCUGAUUGAACUCAGCCUGGGUGACACAGCAAAACCUAGUCUCUAAAAAAACUAAAUAAAUAAAAAAUAAAAACCACUAACUAAGAAUAUUUAUAUAAAAACAUCACAAUUGCUCAAAAUAUUUGCAACCCCUCUCUAUCAGACCCAUCCUCAGAGGUCCCCAACCCCCACAGAUAAUCACUUUGCAGGUAAGUUAUGAAUAGAAACGAUGGUGAAAUUUAGGCCAGGUGCGGUGGCUCACGUCUGUAAUCCCAGUACUUUGGGAAGCCGAGGUGGGUGGAUCACCUGAGUUCAGGAUUUUGAGACCAGCCUGGCCAACAGGACGAAACCCUGUCUCUACUAAAAAUACAAAAAUUAGCUGGACAUGGUGGUGGGCACCUGUAAUCCCAGCUGCUCGGGAGGCUGAUAAUAAUUAAGCACAUUUGAAACAACCACAUUUGUUAUGAAUUAUGGAAAGGCUAUCUUAAUUUCUUUACACCUUUUGGGGUAUGAUGGUUUUAUUCUGAGGCUAAAAAUACUUGUAACCAAAUCUUGAACAGUGUAAUUAUGAAAAAGGAUGGCUAAAUCACUAUGCAACGUAUUAGUGGGUGGCAUGGUAAUUCACAUAAUUUCUUUUCAAUGUUGCUUUUUAUCCCCUGUUUUUUCACUUACAUAUAACAUUUGAACUGACUCAUAGGUUACAUGAUAUUUGAAAUAUGGUGCAACUACAAGACUAAAUGCAUUCUGCCUUAUUCAUUACUUGAUAAGUUACAAGAAGUUCUUUAGAAGCUUAACAGAAUAUCCACUUAUAAUAGGACUGCCAGUUACUGGGAAGAUCUGGUUUUCCUGAAGUAAGAAACAGUCAUCCAACUAAACUUACAGACAAAUGCUUUUAACUGCUAAUCAAUGUGUAAAUCCUCCAGUGGAAUGCUAGAGUGCUUAAAAUCUGGAACAUCAAGCAAAAAUACAAGGGACGGUGGAAUGGUCAGGGCAUAGAUGUUCAUAAUGUGGUCCCAACAUCAGACUUAGUUUAUUUUCUGAGUAAAGAAAAAAGAAAUUGCCUCCUAUUGUCUGCCUUGCGUUGUACCUCUUGGGCAUUUUUAGUCACCCAAGACAAUGACAGAGAACAUCCAUUUGGGACCAGUGAUCUUUUGCACCACUCGUUCUAUCUUUGGGAAGUCAAAAUUGAUUUUCUUCCACUUGUCACACUAAAAUCUCAACUCUGUCCUUUCUGUUUCACUCUCAAAGAGUUCAGCGGUAUCGGGAUCAAAGGAUUAGGAAGCCGCAGCUUUAAGGGAGGCAAGCAGCAUGAGAAGACUUUGUGGAGGCAGCUCUGAGCAUUUUAUGUAAGCAAUCUAUUUCAGCUUCAAAGGAAGCACUGGCUAAGUGGGUGAACAACAUGUAAAGUGCUCACUUGACAUAAAUUUUUUUUUUUUUAAGUAGCUGAGAUAAAGACAGCCUCCAAUCACUGACCUUUUAUUAUUAGUCAGAGCCCUGAGUACAAGAGAGACUUCAGCAGAGGUGGCCAACGGGCGCCUGCAGAGACUCCAGGCGCGUUCUUGCCUGUUGGUGCAAUAUUUGCAGCUGCGGCACUCUCCUUCAAGUUGUUUGUUCCACUCUCUGCCUGAUGCUAUGGGUAUCUGAUUUCUAUCUCUGGAAACAGCGUGGGAGCCAUGUGGCGGUCAAGGCUGGACUUUAACUGCAAAGGAGCACAUCACAGCAAGCUCCCAGGGAGCCGGGCACAGCUCAGUAUCAGUCUUGGUUUCACUUGAAAAAUGUACAGACCUUUUAUAAAUUAUAGGAAAGAG